UGGGGAAUAUUGGACAAUGGGCGAAAGCCUGAUCCAGCCAUGCCGCGUGUGUGAAGAAGGUCUUCGGGUUGUAAAGCUCUUUUGGCGGGGACGAUAAUGACGGUACCCGCAGAAUAAGCCCCGGCUAACUUCGUGCCAGCAGCCGCGGUAAUACGAAGGGGGCUAGCGUUGUUCGGAAUCACUGGGCGUAAAGCGCACGUAGGCGGAUUUGUUAGUCAGGGGUGAAAUCCCGGGGCUCAACCUCGGAACUGCCUCUGAUACUGCAAAUCUCGAGUCCGAUAGAGGUGAGUGGAAUUCCUAGUGUAGAGGUGAAAUUCGUAGAUAUUAGGAAGAACACCGGUGGCGAAGGCGGCUCACUGGUCCGGUACUGACACUGAGGUGCGAAAGCGUGGGGAGCAAACAGGAUUAGAUACCCCAGUAGUCCCUGAGCGGGCUGGCAAGGCGCAU
rnacentral:rRNA from 1 species